ACCUUCUGACCUCUGACCAUUACAAUACUGACCUGGUUAAAGUCACUCAGUUCUUUAUGUUGCUUAUUUUGCUGCUUCCAACACAUCAGCUUUGAGGACUAAAUGUUCACUUGUUGCCUAAAAUAUCUAACCUAGUGAAAGGUAACAUUGUUAUAAAAUAAUCAAUAUUAUUACCACUUCUCCUGUCAGU